rnacentral:rRNA from 2 species
GCAUCGGAAACCGGGCGACUUGAGUGCAGAAGAGGACAGUGGAACUCCAUGUGUAGCGGUGGAAUGCGUAGAUAUAUGGAAGAACACCAGUGGCGAAGGCGGCUGUCUGGUCUGCAACUGACGCUGAGGCUCGAAAGCAUGGGUAGCGAACAGGAUUAGAUACCCUGGUAGUCCAUGCCGUAAACGAUGAGUGCUAGGUGUUGGAGGGUUUCCGCCCUUCAGUGCCGGAGCUAACGCAUUAAGCACUCCGCCUGGGGAGUACGACCGCAAGGUUGAAACUCAAAGGAAUUGACGGGGGCCCGCACAAGCGGUGGAGCAUGUGGUUUAAUUCGAAGCUACGCGAAGAACCUUACCAGGUCUUGACAUCUUGCGCUAACCUAAGAGAUUAGGCGUUCCCUUCGGGGACGCAAUGACAGGUGGUGCAUGGUCGUCGUCAGCUCG